CUGAGAAAUACAGAGAAAAUGUUAUAUUUUUGCAUUGAGUCAAAAUAACAAGGAGCUCAUUAAAAUCAGUAACGAAAUCAUUUGGUAAUCAGAAAAGAACGGACGCAAUCGAUUGGGCAAGCAUUUAGUUUGACAGCCAGUCGAUAAUGCAUAAUAUUGACAUAUUCAGUUAGAGUGACAAACACUCUCACAUUCUCACACUCCGCUGGGCAGCUGGUGAUAAUUGGCGUCUCGUUGAGGCAUCCACGAAGCAUCAAUGCAGGGGAGUGCAGGGGAGUCGGCUGAAGAUGAGUGCAAAUCAUGGAGCUGGCUGGCAUUAGGCAAAGAUCCACAAAGGCGAAGGCAAAGUUCUCACAAUUUAAUUAGUAUGCAUUUCCAUUAUUUAUAUAGUAUGCCCUCAAUGGCCACAUCGUUAGCAGUUGGCAGUUGGCAGUUGGCAGUCAGUUCCACUCGGGGCUCUCGGGGCAUUGUUUUCGUGCAUCCACAGGCCGCAGGGGCAGCAGGGGGGAAGUGGCGGCAACUCCAGCUCGUACGCAUGUCAAUCUUGUCGGAUGCUCUGUAGUUGCAGCUCACUUGCAUUCCUUGACGCUUGGUCCCACGGUGCUUCACUCAGAUCCUAGAACACAGAAAAUGCCCAGCAAGAAGACAAAACAAAUUCCGUCAGCAAUAACAACUUUUGAUGUUUUCUGGCAUUGCACAGAUAUAUGCAUUCUUGCGGUAUGGAAUUGUAAUUAAAGUUUAAUUCAGAUGUUAUGACAAUCGUUUGACUUGCCAUCUUUUUUGCGGCUUACACUUGUUGCUGUCGUAAACAUGGCUGUUUAUUAGUCAAUGUUUGCUUGAAGGAAUGCCAAACACUUCCCGAUUGCUGCUAUUGUUGUUCAACACUUGAAAUGCGUCGCCAUCUUUGCUGCUGUCACC